rnacentral:lncRNA from 10 species
UCAUAUCUUACUCAAGUUUAAUAUCCCAAAAGGGCUCCCCAUUGCCCUCAGGCUGAAUUCUGAAGCCCUUCCCAAAGCCUGCGAGGGUCUGCCGCAUCUAGCCCCAGUGACCUCUUCCUCUUGGGCUACAGCUCAUAGAUGUCCUUCCAUUCUCCUAGGGAGCCCUGUGCCCACCCACUUCGGGCUCCCAGGGACUGUGCUGCUCCCCGUCACUCUCCCUGCCCAUCUCUUCCUCCUGUGCUAGGUCUCUAAUCAAGUGGCCACUCUGGGAAACCCUCCUUGACUUUUUUUUUUUUUUGAGACAGAGACACAACAGAAUGGAAAGCGAAUUGACAGGGAGCAUUCUGUUGUGGAAUGGAUCAGUUGCUCCCUGUGAAUUUGCUUUCAGUCCUAUUUACCGUGGGGUACAAAGCCUCAGUUUG